AUCUGCUUUCAGGCUGGAUUUAUAACAAGCAGAACUUUUAAAACGGUAUGAUUUUAAAAUAAAAUUAAAAAAAAAACACGCUGAGAUCUUUCCAUAGCUUUGGCUUCUGGGAGUUGAAAGCGCAGGUACGUGCUACAUCUUCUGGAAACCUAACCCUCGCACGCCAAGCGGGAGGCUCUUUUGGUCAAAUACUCCCAGGACUUAUGCUUGAGUUCUGAAAUAAGUGAAAGCAGAUGCCAUUCCUGUGCGACAUAGCUAACUGACCGCAGCCCAGAAAGUUCUGUUGGCUAGCUGUGUGGGGGCUGUCUUAAGCCCUGAAAACAUUCUGCAUCAGAACUCAGCUUCAGAAAGGGGUUCCUGCUCUCCUGUCUGCCCUGGAGAUAGUCACGCAUGACAGCUUGUGGGCUGACUGAGCAUUUAGGCAGCUGCUUUUCCUCUCUCCCUCCAGGAGGAAAAUAGAGCAAAAAGGUAGAACUUACUUCCACACCCAAGUUUCUCCUGAAAGCACUGUGCCUGUUUUGUUUGCUACACAUCUUGGUGCUCCAGCAGAUUACCAGUGAAACAUGCCGACUCUCACCAAACCACCCCAUGUUGCCAAAUCUUCUCUCUUGGCCCUGAUGAUGUGCAACUUAAAACCAAGCUUCAGGAAAAAGAGGACCUUAGAACUGAAGGAGCAAGAUUCCAACAUCACACUGUUUUUGUUAGCUGUGUGUGUGUGUUUCCUGUGUAUCCAAAAGACAGAGGAGAUGAAAAAGCAAAAGAAAAGAAACGAGGAAUCAGAUUGGAAAGAAGGUUUCUCCAGGACGUCACCUGUAUGAGGUACACAGUGUGAUGACACACUCUGUGCUUUUCCUACUUGUGUCCACGGCUCAAGCCUGGAAGAAGCCUUAGGACGUGGGGGAAAUGUCUAACGUGGAGUCCACCUGCUGAGCAGGACCGGGUGUGAAGGAAGAAGCUUUGUUCUGAUUCCUCAUGGCCCAGCCACCCCUCGCCUGAGCUGAGCCUGGCCACAGGGCCCGCCUGCAGGAAGGGCUGGCCCAUGGCUUCACACUGGGCUCAGGCUGCGCUAAGAGCCCCGGGUGAGGACCUCCAAGCCCAGGAAGCCUCAGUUGGCCAAAGUGCUAGAUGCGUGUGGUCUGCUUUCAUCCCCGCUUCCCUCAGAGCUUGCAUUUUCCAAAUUCAAGAGAGGCUCCACCUUCAAGAAGACCGGCCUGUCCCUGUUAUUUAUGUGUCCCCCUACCAUAUCUCCCUUUGUUCUGCAGAGCGGUACGCAUAAAAAGCUUUUGGGGAAGGGGAGAAGUGUGGCUCAGUGACUUGCACAGGAAAUUGGAAAUUGGAUCCCCAGGUCUACCCCCACUCCUCUGACUCAUGCUUAAACAAACCCAACACAUGCCCUGACCUUUGCUCUCUCCCUCUAUUGCAGGCCAUACCUGCCAGCAGCCUGCUCUCCCGGCCAUGCUGCGGUUCACAAAAGUCCAGCAUUUGGCUAGCUUCCUGGGGGAAUGAAUCUUUCAGAGCCAAACUAAUGCUAUGCAUGCAGCUUAUGAUUUUUUUUUUUUUGUCUUCAACAAAGUGAAUACUUACUUUUUUUUUGCUCUUUAAAUUGUCAUCCAUUAUAUUCAUCAACACAGAGAGAUGGAACAUUUGGCAAAAUUAUUUUAAGUAGCACUCCAACCUGUGAUCGUAAUUUCAAAUCAAGGAAUUUGCUGAGCAGCUGUGGGGAAGAACAAAAGGCCUGAGAGUGAUUUAGGGCCUGGGGGAGGGGAGGCGGUGGAGUUGAAGGCCCCAGCCGGUAGCAGAAACAGCUGGGGAGGUAGGUUGUGCACACCCCGUGGGGGAGCCGGCCUUCUCAGCCCUGCCAUCCCAUCCACACGUGCCUCAUCAGAGAGUUUUCGUCUCCUGAACAUACCACAUGCAGCACUUUAAAAUAGAUAAACUAAGAGGAUUCAGAUUCAGUUUGAUACCCUCGCUGAGAGCUUCGGCUCGGGAGUUGGACAGGCCUGGCCUUGAAUCCUGGCUCUGCCUCUCACCAGCCUCAGUUGCAUCAUCUGUAAAAUGGGGCUAAUGUAGCAAUCACUUCGCAGAUAUUACUAUGAGGUUGAGUGUUUAUUUGACCCAGUCACUGGCAUAGAACAAGUGUUCAAAAUACUAUUAUUAUCACCAAUAUGCAGAAAUGUUCAAUGUAUACACUCGGUUUUUGCAACCAAUUUAUUCAAUGAACAUCUAUUGAGCACCUGUUAUGUGUUAGGUGCAGGGCUGGGUGUUGUGUGGGUACAAACACAUAAAGCAUAGGAAUUAAUAUGCUAUUAGAUAAACUAAAAAGACUUCUAUUGACUUAAAAAGUAAUAAUGACUUCUAAGCAUAUUUAAGUAAUUUACGAAAGAGCCUUUCUUUUUUUUAUUUUUGAGAUGGAGUCUUGCUCUGUCUCUCAGGCUGGAGUGUAAUGGUGCUAUCUCAGCUCACUGCAACCUCUGCCUCCCGGGUUCAAGCAAUUCUUGUGCCUCAGCCUCCAGAGUAGCUGGGUUUAUAGGCGCGUGCCACGACGCCCAGCUAAUUUCUGUGUUUUUAGUAGAAACGGGGUUUCACCAUGUUGCUCAGGCUAUCUUGAACUCAUGACCUCAGGUGAUCCACCUGCCUCGGCCUCCCAAAGUGCUGGGAUUACAGGUGUGAGCCAUUGCACCCGGUCAAAAGAGGCUUUCUUAACAGAUGGUCUAUUAGAAGCAAUUUGAAAAGAAAAUAUAGAGUUGAAAAAAAUAAAAGGGAAGCUGCAUUCUUUUUAAUUGUUUUUGAACUUGUUGCUUUUCAACACAGCUAUUAUCUAAAUUAACUUAAUUUCUUAAAAUAAGCCCUGCUUGAUACCCGGGAACCUUCAAUCAACUAAUUUGCAGAUAAUCAGACCUAUUUACAAAUAGUCUGGUUUGUCUGAGUGACUUUCAGUGACACAUGCAUACUCAGAAAGGGUAUCAUUUGCCAGGGAUUAGUCAGUUCUGCUGAAUUACAGUCUUCAGAAUGAGAAGUCAUCUAGUUCAACCUUUCAUCCUUUUAAUAGAAUUUCUGGUGGAUAACAGCUGAGCUUCUCCUCCGACUCUGCUAGGAAUGGAGAACUUACUACUUCAAAACGUAGAUGCUGCCUGGGUUGAGCAGCUCUAAAUGUUCAAGAUGGAAUCAUUAAUAGGAAACUAAUUGAAAAGAAUUUGCAUAGCACGUCUCAAGGACAAAAAUCCCUUCUGUUGUUUUUUCCUUUUGUCUUGGUCUGCAUCUCUGUCAUUUGGUGGUGUUUGGACUGCCUGUCUGUCUUCCCUUUUUACUCCGAGCGGCGGCCUGCCCUCUGCCCCCUGCCCCCAGGGGAACAACAAUGGCCCUGAUCACAAUUGGGUGGCCAAGCAUAUCAUGCCGUGGAAGUUUGGAGCCAACACUCAGUUCCAGUUGCUCCUCUCCUUAUUCUCUAGGGUGGCUCCACUAGGUUCUGCUUUCUCAGAAAACAGCAGUGAACUUUGUUCAGCCGAAACCCUAUUUCCCAAGCUGAUACUUGCUCACUGGCCUCCCCUCCUCCAGCUGCUCCCAACUGCUGACCACUUCUUGAGCGCACUGCUAGCUGCUUCUGCUGUUCCAGCACUUCCUGGAAGGCAGCUGCAAGCAGCCGAGGCAGAUGGAGCCCAAGCCCUGUUGCUUGUGGUCUUGGCUUACUGAGCCUGAAUCCACGACCGGAUCAUUAGAAAAGGGACGGUGUGUGUGCCUACCUUUGAAGCCAGUAGGCCAAAAGAAGGGUGAGCAGGACAGCGCCAUAACACCUAGAGUUACUGUGUUUGGUUCACACUUCUGGUUUCCUGCAGAAUUGCUAGAAUUUUUAAAAAAAGGAAGCAGCAAGUUGAGAGCAACUAAAGUAAAAAGAGAAAAGUGAUACAAAGGGAAAGGUUUAUUUUUGGAGCUCUUAGAUUCUGAAACUCCUUCUGACUCUUUUAUCCUUUUACCUCUCCCUUUCUCCUCACUGGGCUCUUUGUCCUCAUGGGGACUGUGCAUCUCUGGUCUCACUCUAGCUCUGGGUCCCUUAGGCUCUUCUGGUUUUCUGGCUCCUGGAGUGAGCCCUUUCAAUGAGGCCCUCCCUCAAUUUCCCAUCCCUCUUGUUCUUCUGCCAUCCAGACUCAUCACAGCCCAAAUCUGAGACCAGCUGGCUGCACCGCUGGCUACUCAGAGCGGCUGGAGACAGCCAUGCCCUGGGGCGACUUGUUCCAUGGUGAUCUGACUGGUUCAUGCAGGGGUCUCGGACCUCACGGACCUCAUCAGGAGCAUCAAAUGGGGUUUUUUUUGGCCGGAAUGAUAUUUAAAACAAUUUGAUUUAGUUAUGAGCAUUUAAGAAAUAGGAGGUCACCAGAAAAUCCAGAGUUUUAGCUCGGCAAGCAGAGAUGGAGAGCUGGCGGUACCCGGUCUUUACCCAUUCUGGAAGGACCACUGGCUGGAGCUGAGAGGCAGUGGCUUCUCUGACAUGGGGCAUACACUCCAUUUUGCUACCUUCUCUGCAACAACAGAGAGUGUCUUCCUGGACCCCAAACUGAGAAUCAGAUGCCUUUAAUCAACGGGCUUGCUUCCUCCCACUCCCCAGACAACCUGAUUCAUGAGAUGCCUGCCUGUUCCCCGUGGGCAUCUGAGUUUGCAGCCCAUGCUCAGUAGAGUUUAUUCGGCAAUCCUUUUCCUGACCUAUAGCAGACUCCUAGCCCACCACAUUUCUAAUGCAGCUGUUGCAAGUCUUGUCCAGACCUUUCAGACCCUUGAUCUCUCCGGGAGAUUGUGCCUCAUACAUUAUUGAAAAGAUUGAGGCCACACAACAUGUGCUCUAAUGCCUCAGCUUUCUGCCUUUCUGCUUCUAAGGUCUCUGUUCUCUCUCCAUUCCGUCCUCCUUCCCUCCUUUCUGACUCUCUUUUUCUUUUUUUCAUCACUUUUAAAAAUUGUAAAAUAGAAUGUACGUACAGAAAAAGGAGGCCGAGGCAGGAGAAUCACUUGAACCUGGGAGACAGAGGUUGCAGUGAGGCGAGAUCACGCAUUGCACUCCAGCCUGGGCAAUAAGAGUGAAACUCUGUCUCAACAAAAAAGAAAAACAAAAAAGAACCAAAAAAAACCCCCCAAAACCAAAGAUAUACAGUUCAGUGAUUUAUCACAAAGUCAACACCAGUGUCAUUAUCAGCCUGAUCGAGAACUAGAACUCUGCCCUCCCUCACCCUGGACGUACUCUUCAUUCCCCCGUCCACCUCUACCCUCCCUCCCUAUCAGAGGCGACCAUUAUCCUGACUUUUUAUGUAAAGCAUCUUUGUUUAUCUUUACCACCUAAAUAUAUAUAUAAACAGAUGUUUAUAGCAGUUUUAUUCAUAACUGUAAAAACUUGAAAGCAACCAAGAUGUCCUUUAGUAGGUGAAUAGAUAAUAAACUGGGAUACAUUCAGGCAAUGCACCAUUAUUCAGUCCUCAAAAGAAAUGAGCUAUCAAGCCAUGACAUGAUAUGGAAGAACUUUAAAUGCAUAUUACUAAGUGAAAGAAGACAGUCUGAAAAGACUAUAUGCUGUGUGAUUCCAACUAUAUGUCAUUGUGGAAAAGGCAAAACUGCAGAGGCAGUAAAAGGAUCAGUAAUUGGCCGGGCGCAGUGGCUUACAUCUGUAAUCCAAGCACUUGGGGAGGCUGAGGCGGGCGGACCAUGAGGUCAGGAGAUCCAGGCCAUCCUGGCUAACACGGUGAAACUCCGUCUCUACUAAAAAUUCAAAAAAUUAGCUAGGCGUGGUGGCAUGCGCCUGUAGUCCCAGUUACUCGGGAGGCUGAGGCAGGAGAAUCGCUUGAACUCGAGAGGCGGAGGUUUCAGUGAGCCAAGAUGGCGCCACUGCACUCCAGCCUGGGCAACAGAGCAAGACUCCGUCUCACACACACAAAAAAAGAAUCAGUAAUUGCCAGGGAUUAGGGGGAGGGAGGGAUCAAACAGUGCAGCACAGAGGGUUUUUAGCACAGUGAACUACUCUGUAUGAUACUAUCAUGAUGGGCACCUGUCAUUAAACAUUUGUCAAAACUUGUAGAAUGUACAAGACCAAGAGAGAACCCUAAUGUGAACUAUGGAUCCUGGGCGAUACCGAUGUGCCAGUGUAGGCUCAUGGAUUGUAACAAACACACAGCCCAGGUGGGGGAUGUUGACAGUGGGGAAGGCUGUGCUAUGUGGGGGGCAGAGGGUAUAUGAGAUAUCUCUGUACCUUCUGUUCAAUUUUGCUGUGAACCUAAAACUGCUCUAAAAAAAUAAAAUCUUAAAAAAAAGGAAAAAAGUCUCUUUAAAUGCUAAGAUUUAGUUUUUGGCUAAACUAAACUUUAGCAUUUCAAUGCUAAAGGCUGUUUUUUUUUUUUUAACUUUAUAUAAAUGUAACUAAACAGUGUGUAUUCUUUCAUGCGCCGCACUUUUUACUCAACAUUAUACUUGUGAAAAUCAUCCAGGUUGUCAUGUGUAGGUGUAGUUUGCAGUUUUUAUCAGUGGAUAGUAUUACAUUAAAGAAAUGGCAUAAUUUGUCUGUCUAUUCUACUCUUGACGGACAUUUAGGUUGUUUCCAGUCUAGGGCUAUUAUAAAUGACGCUUCUGUGAUCAUCCUUGCUCUUGUGUGCUGGUGGAGGCAUAUGUGUGUUUCUGAGGGUAUUACUCUGAGCCUGGAGUCUUCUUUGUGGAAAGGUUUAAAUUAUCAAUUCAGUUUAUUGAAUGGUUAUUGGGUUAGUUAAGAUUUACAUACUUUCUUGUGUCCAUUUUUGAUAAAUUUUCUUUUUAAGGGAUUCACCAAUUUAUCUAAAUUUGCAAAAUGUUUUGGCAUAAAACUAUUCAUAAUACUUUCUUAUGAUCUUUAAUAAAGAUGGUUCUGUUGUGAUGUCUCUUUAUCAUGCCUGACAUUGAUUAUUUUAAUCUUCUUUUUCUUUCUUUUGCC
rnacentral:lncRNA from 1 species